AGAUCAUCGGUGUCCUACUCCCCUCCCUCCUGGAAAUCGACGGAACCCAACUCGGCCGCAAAGCCACCAGCAUUGUGGGUGACGCCAGCCAGCCCUCACACCCCUACACCGCCUCCAGCCACCUGGGAGACGGGAGCCCUCCUCCUCGCCGGCUCCACCAGACUGGGAUCCAUUUGUUUUCCCCAACAGGCUGUUCGGAAGCUCAACUCUCUCCCCUCUCUUUCCCUCCUUCCUUCCCCUCUGCCCCCACGGACUCUGGGAUGUGAAACCCCCUCCCAUCUGCCCCCAUGAUCCCUGAACCCUCUGCUCUUCUUCUGCACUAAACAGACCUUUUUGAAUUUAUUAUUGUAAAUAUUACUUAUCUUAUUUUAUUUCGUUGACCAAUUUUAUUUCAUGCUUAAUGCACUGCGGGUCAGAGACUAACACAGUGUUGGUUCUUCUAUUUGUCUUGUACAUUUGUUUUAAUUGACCUUAAAGCUGACUUCGACUUUUUGACUGCCACCGCGGCUCAUCACCCGCCAAAAACAUCCCGCUUUGAACGGUUGAACCCUGUACUCCUUGCAGCUAUAAAAAGCUAAAAGCUUUAAAAGCUACAAAAUGUAUCCAUUAAUGCAGGCCAGAGCUAUAGAGACAGACACUUGAUUGGAGCAGGGGUCAAAGGGCAGGUGCUGUCGCAUCACCUUGGGUCUACGUGCACGCCAUUUCAACUACUUCAGACUUUGUUACUUCAUUUUUUAACCGUUAACCUUCAUUAAAACUUUUAACAAAUGAACACACUUGUAUCUUCAAUCAAAAAGCAUUUAUAUAGCAUUUAUACUUUUUUCAGUAUCAGUUUAAUUUCUUACCUGCCUCACACCCACCGUUUUUUACGACUUCAACCAGUCUAUUAGCGUUUUAAAUAGGGAAUAAACGCAUAGUAUUGGUCAGUUAACUUAGAUUAUUAUCAUUCAUACCAAAUGUAUUUAAUAAGCUAAAAAUGGACCAAGUGAUCCUGAGGGAGUUUUAUUGACUCACUGUGGGUUGAAUAUGAAAUUUACGGAAAACCACCGAUUUGGGAAUUGUAAACCAACAGUUACUACAAAUGUAGUUAAAUUCAAAUAAAUAACACCACAAAUUUGGAAAUUGUAAUCAGGCAGUCACUUACAGAAUGUGCAUUAACGCAUACAUUUUUAUAAAUCAAAUUAAACUAAGAUUGCGUUACCGCGUUAAUAUCGCACACUAAUUUUAAAAGCCCUAAUUGUUAUAUAGCGGCCGUUUGAGUGCGGGGAACCCCGUUUAUAUGGCUAGAGACUAAGUGCUUGCUACAUAUCCGGUUUACUCCCGGUAGAAGCUUAAUGCUUGAAAACUAUCUUUCGAACAGGAACAGGAAUCAUUUGUAUUGCUUCGGUCUGCAGUUCACAGAUAAUCAAUAUAAGUGACCAGAAAGAUAAUUAUCAAACCCAAAGACAAAAAAAAACAUUGCCUCAGCAUAACAAACACUG